UCUCCUCCACCGGUUCCUUUGCAACUGGGAGCCAAUGGGAUAAGAAAAAGAACAUGGUGGAUUGUGAGAGUGAUCAAAGAGACUAGGUCUGAGAGUGAUAUGCAUCUGUUUUGAUCACAGUCCACUUGCAAUAACUCCAUUUGCUUCACCUAAAGAGGCUGAGAAAUUUCUAAUGUGUUUCUCUUCUAAAAGAAGAGAAGAAACAUGCAUACAGAGGGAAGACUUUUAGAAGAAGAUGACACGUAUGUGAAGAGUGUGGUUUCUUGAAAUAUUUUCUUAAGGAAAAAAGUAGAAGAUAAGUAUCCUACCUUGAAUUUUCCUUGAGUUGAGAUCAUUGAACAAGUGGUAUAUUAAAUGGAGUAGAAUUUUCUUAAUGAAGAUUUUAAAUAUUUUCACAUCUUAUUGAUGCAUUCUUGAUAUGUACAUCCUAAGUAUGGCACUGAUUAAUUAUCAGUGUAGAUUAUUUUAUUGGCCUCUGGAUCUUUGUCUUGGAUGUCAAAAGAACCUCUUCUAAAAUGUGUGCAAAGGAUACAGUUUGGAGAUAAUGAGGGUUUUUUUGGGGGGGGUGUUUGUUUUCAUUUUUAUAGUUUCCUUACUUCUUUGCUGCCCUCCACCCAUUGUAUCAAUGGAACGUAUUACUUUAGGGGGAAGGCUAAAAUAGCUGAUUCUGAGGAGUCAGUUGAGUUUCUGAAUUUAUUUUUUAAAGUCCCCAGAGAGACAAUACUCUUGAAAGUUGAGAAUUUUUUACUACAAGAGCCUGAGCUCCAAAAGCUUAAGAGCCUGGCAGUUCCACUGCAUAGAGUUUACGCCAAACCACAGAGUAGGAAGGAAUGGCUUUUCUCGCAAAUGUUUUCCUGCAUAAGGGAGAUCAGGUUUGAGCAUCAGGCACCCAGGAGGAGAAAUAGAGGUUAGAGGAUGGUGAGGAGCAGGAACAAGCAUUUAGUGCCCGGUUCCCCUUCUAUCAAGCUUUUGGGGAACGUACGGAUAGGAUAGGAUGGAUUUGGGGCCUCGUACCAUGCUGCCUGAUGAAGCUCAAGGGAAGGAAAGCAAUUCCUGUAGGUAAGUGCCGUUCCAGCAUGGCUCUGCAAAGUAUAAAAGGCAACAGGAAGGUCUGGGCAGAGAAAGUCUAAAGCAGCACCCCUGCUGCCUGCUGCCCCAGGAGACAGCAGAGAAUCAAAAAUUCCCAUCGCCCUGAGAUGAGUGUGUAAAAGGAGCAUCUUGCGUUUGCCAUUUUCAACAUGUAAAAUCCAUCACUGCUACACGGAUGAAUCAUUGCAGUCUAAUUUUCCUCUCUCAUGUCUAGAUGUCAAACUAUUCAAUAGUGUCUGGAGUUAUCUGCGUGACCUUCGAGGACCCAUCAACCCGAGAACAGAACGGGAUGCAGGCGUUUCAACCAUGGAUGCCAUAAUGGUAGAUCCCAGGAUAAAGAACAAACUCCAUUGGAAGUCAGUGGAUGGCUGCGAUGGACUGGGUUCACAUCACCUGGCAACCACCAGCAAGGCCUUACCAGUUGUGUGUGUUGGUGUUUGUUCUGAUUGUUUGGUGCCUAUACCCUACUGCUUGUUAAAUAGUUUGAGCAUCACGCUUACUGAUGACUGCAGCCUGGUGCCAGGAAGUUUCAGCGCGCCCCCCCCCCCGACCCCCAACUUGGAUCACCCCAUGGAGAUAAGGAAAAAAGAAAUGGAAGGGGGCAUCCUGAAAUGACUGACGAUACCCUCCCAAGGAGACUGGAGUAAACCAGUGACUAAGAUUACUUUGACUUAAGCUUAAGUUUCCCACCAUCAGUUUGUGAACUAAUUUAAGGUCAUUUGCAGUGAAUAAAAGAGAGCUCCAGUUUUUUAACAUAUGAAAUUCA